rnacentral:misc_RNA from 1 species
ACAAAUCUGCUAUAUGGCGAGCCCGAGAGGGAUCGCACAUAUAUAUUUACCCCGAGCUGGUGUUGCACUUUGUGCAAAAGCCAGCUUUGGUUGGGCAGGCCUACCCUUUGCCGGGCAGGCCUGUUCCGGACAGUGUUAGGAGGCCGCAAGGUUUUCGGAUGCUGGCCACAUUGACGCUUGUAUGUUUGACAGAGUUACAGUUGUAAACUUAAAAAGA